UUUAUGGAGAGUUUGAUCCUGGCUCAGGAUGAACGCUGGCGGCGUGCCUAAUACAUGCAAGUCGAGCGAACGGACGAGAAGCUUGCUUCUCUGAUGUUAGCGGCGGACGGGUGAGUAACACGUGGAUAACCUACCUAUAAGACUGGGAUAACUUCGGGAAACCGGAGCUAAUACCGGAUAAUAUUUUGAACCGCAUGGUUCAAAAGUGAAAGACGGUCUUGCUGUCACUUAUAGAUGGAUCCGCGCUGCAUUAGCUAGUUGGUAAGGUAACGGCUUACCAAGGCAACGAUGCAUAGCCGACCUGAGAGGGUGAUCGGCCACACUGGAACUGAGACACGGUCCAGACUCCUACGGGAGGCAGCAGUAGGGAAUCUUCCGCAAUGGGCGAAAGCCUGACGGAGCAACGCCGCGUGAGUGAUGAAGGUCUUCGGAUCGUAAAACUCUGUUAUUAGGGAAGAACAUAUGUGUAAGUAACUGUGCACAUCUUGACGGUACCUAAUCAGAAAGCCACGGCUAACUACGUGCCAGCAGCCGCGGUAAUACGUAGGUGGCAAGCGUUAUCCGGAAUUAUUGGGCGUAAAGCGCGCGUAGGCGGUUUUUUAAGUCUGAUGUGAAAGCCCACGGCUCAACCGUGGAGGGUCAUUGGAAACUGGAAAACUUGAGUGCAGAAGAGGAAAGUGGAAUUCCAUGUGUAGCGGUGAAAUGCGCAGAGAUAUGGAGGAACACCAGUGGCGAAGGCGACUUUCUGGUCUGUAACUGACGCUGAUGUGCGAAAGCGUGGGGAUCAAACAGGAUUAGAUACCCUGGUAGUCCACGCCGUAAACGAUGAGUGCUAAGUGUUAGGGGUUUCCGCCCUUAGUGCUGCAGCUAACGCAUUAAGCACUCCGCCUGGGGAGUACGACCGCAAGGUUGAAACUCAAAGGAAUUGACGGGGACCCGCACAAGCGGUGGAGCAUGUGGUUUAAUUCGAAGCAACGCGAAGAACCUUACCAAAUCUUGACAUCCUUUGACAACUCUAGAGAUAGAGCUUUCCCCUUCGGGGGACAAAGUGACAGGUGGUGCAUGGUUGUCGUCAGCUCGUGUCGUGAGAUGUUGGGUUAAGUCCCGCAACGAGCGCAACCCUUAAGCUUAGUUGCCAUCAUUAAGUUGGGCACUCUAAGUUGACUGCCGGUGACAAACCGGAGGAAGGUGGGGAUGACGUCAAAUCAUCAUGCCCCUUAUGAUUUGGGCUACACACGUGCUACAAUGGACAAUACAAAGGGCAGCGAAACCGUGAGGUCAAGCAAAUCCCAUAAAGUUGUUCUCAGUUCGGAUUGUAGUCUGCAACUCGACUACAUGAAGCUGGAAUCGCUAGUAAUCGUAGAUCAGCAUGCUACGGUGAAUACGUUCCCGGGUCUUGUACACACCGCCCGUCACACCACGAGAGUUUGUAACACCCGAAGCCGGUGGAGUAACCUUUUAGGAGCUAGCCGUCGAAGGUGGGACAAAUGAUUGGGGUGAAGUCGUAACAAGGUAGCCGUAUCGGAAGGUGCGGCUGGAUCACCUCCUUUCU
rnacentral:rRNA from 1 species